UGGGGAAUUUUGGACAAUGGGGGCAACCCUGAUCCAGCCAUGCCGCGUGUGUGAAGAAGGCCUUCGGGUUGUAAAGCACUUUCGGACGGAACGAAAUCGCGCGAUCUAACAAGUCGCGUGGAUGACGGUACCGUAAGAAGAAGCACCGGCUAACUACGUGCCAGCAGCCGCGGUAAUACGUAGGGUGCGAGCGUUAAUCGGAAUUACUGGGCGUAAAGUGUGCGCAGGCGGCAGAGCAAGUCGAGUGUGAAAGCCCCGGGCUUAACUUGGGAAUUGCGCUCGAAACUACUUUGCUGGAGUGUGGCAGAGGAAGGUGGAAUUCCACGUGUAGCGGUGAAAUGCGUAGAGAUGUGGAGGAACACCAAUGGCGAAGGCAGCCUUCUGGGCCAACACUGACGCUCAUGCACGAAAGCGUGGGGAGCAAACAGGAUUAGAUACCCUGGUAGUCCACGCCCUAAACGAUGACGACUAGUUGUUGGGGGAGUUAAAUCCCUUAGUAACGCAGCUAACGCGCGAAGUCGUCCGCCUGGGGAGUACGGUCGCAAGAUUAA
rnacentral:rRNA from 1 species